GUUGCUGUGCCUGACGGCUCUCGUAACACAUCCAAAGUGCACCCCCGCUCAGGAAACCUGCUUUCUUACCGGAUUACGAAGGACCAAGCCAAUCAUUAGAGCGUGAGCCAAACUAUGCUGGUUUGAGAUACUGCGUGCUGCACUCCCCGAAUUGCAUAAUUGCGAGCUCAGCAAGGGGACUCGUUCCAGGACGGCUGAGUGAGGCUGCAGGACUGGCAGGUCGAGAGCAGGGACUGGACCCUAACUCUGCGCUCAGGAAUAACUCAGAAAAGUCAAUGGAGGGGCCUGGGUGUGAAGCUGGUGCCGGGGGAAACCAGGCCCAUCAGGCCUGUAACUUGCUGGAAAGGUGGAAGGCAGAGAAAGAAGACGUAUGGGUAAUGAGGCAGCAGCUUGAUUGUCCACUGACUGCACCGGAUACCCAGAGAAAGUUGCGACUAUGUGAAAACUCGCAAUUACUUUGUAAAUAACAAUGCAAAGUGAAAGACACGGGGAGACCAGCCCCAUGGUUUUGGCUCAGCGUCCAACCUUGCAGCUGCCCCAGGUACUGAGGUAGCUCCGGUUCCCUGACCACACCAGCACAAAAACCAAUUGAGAGAAAGCAGACAGUAUAACUCGUACUAGUCCAGGAUACAGUCAUACACAGUAACAAUAAAGAGCUGUGACUCCAUCCUUCUCUGAGCAGCUGUCACAUUCCCACCACCUUUGGACUCCAUCAUCCCAUUUGGUUCUCACGAAGCCUGGUGAUGUCUGAACCUGGGGAUAUUCUGAACAAAAGGAGCUCUCAGCCACACCUGUAGCUGUUUCCAUCACUUCCCUGCAAUGCAGCAGACAUUCUAGGCUUCAGAAUGACACAGUGACAGUCCUGGAAGAUGUGUGUUGAUUUGUGCAGAUGGCAAAGGGGGUGGGGGUGCUGCAGUGAGGGGCCUGUGCUUGUUUGGCAUUAUUUCAGUUGUGGUGAUUUGUGUCUAGGUGGGUUGCCCUGGGACAUUUGUGUGGGUGGCAAAUUGAGAGGCUUGUGCUGCAGGGAGGAGCUUUGUGCAUUUACAGCAAUUGUGUGCACUGGUUGUGGUGUGGAUUUUUAAAGAACUGUAGCAAUUGAGUCAAGUAAUUCGUCAUCUGUGCAGUCUCCCUCGUACAACCAAUUAAAUUGCUGCAUCCAAAUUAGCUGCAAAGCCAGGGUGGUAAUUGGUUGAGUUACUUCUGAUAUCCUAAAGAUCUAGUACUCUUGGCAUAGCAUAGAUACAUCCAUGAAACAGCACGUCACGUCACUCGAAGUCAAAACUGACGAGAAUUUAAAAAUUAGAUGGUAAUAGACUGCGAAUCUCAGUGAGGACCUGCUGAUAUUCUGCACCAAAAAAGCUCUCAGCCGUGCUUGUAGCUGCCUCACACUGACUGUACGAUGUGGAAUCUUAUUCUGUAGGUAAUACAGCUGGGAAUUCUGCACACGUGUAUACAGUGAGACAUGCCCUAGCUCUAAUUGAGAGGGACUUUUAAAGCACAGAAUGUGUUUGGAGAGAUGGAAAUUUGAAAAACUGGACAUUUUCUACUAGAGGCCAAUGGGAGACGUGGGUCUGAAAGGUUGCCAAUACGAAACAAACAUAGUUCUGGGGGCAGUUAUUUCCUGCCGUUUAUUUGCUUUCCAAUGUAGCCCCUGCUACCAUCUCUCUCCCGUUUUCCUUCCACUCUAUUUUUAUGAUGUCCCAAAAGAGCUUCCCCCUACCCAUGCCUGAUCUCAAGACAAGGCAUGUGGCAGAAUGCCUGAUGGAGCUGGUGGGACAAGCCAAUUUGAAGAGGUCUCAUCCACCCAGUCUGGCCCACCUAUACCUCCCCCACCCACUACUUUUACAUCUUUAGGGCUUUAUCGUGCCAACAAGCAUCACAAUAUCUGAGCACCUUCCACGGAAAAGUGGUAGCAAUUGUGGAGUCCCGACUGGCCUCUCUCCCUUGGUUUCCUGUAUAAUCCUGUGGCAUUACACCCCAUAUUCAGGAUAGUAAAAUUAUGAUGUGAGUAUAGCAUAAUUAUGAUGUAUUUUGUGCAAGAGAAGGCAUGUGAGAUAUCAUUGGAAAGGUUAUGAUUUACUGAAUGAUGAUCAUAUUUGUAUGCAUGUAUUGUUUUUGUAUCUGACAUUCAGAAUACUGUCUAUGCAUCUAUUACAAAUGUGUUUACACCUGGGGAACACCCACUAGACAGAAUGCAAUCUGUCUAGAUUGCGGGUUGGAAAGGCCCAUUAGGAAGAACAAUAGGUCUUAGAAGAUGCUAAUCUCUCAUCAGGGAUCCUUCCUAGUAAAGCCUUCCUGGGGACACUGCAAACAGCCUCGGAUGUAUGGCUGGAGGGUAAGGUGAGCAAGUCACCUGAUACUGGACUCCAUGAUAAUAUUAGUAUUUUUCCACUGAUUGGGGAAGACUGGAAGACAAAGGAUUCCUGCCAUAUGUAAACCCUAUUUAAGGCAGAGGGACAUAAUCAUGGUUAGUUCUUCACUGAAUCCCCACCCAAGAUGACUGCUGUAAAUAUCUAAGAAACAAAGACUGAAGGAGGGGAGAAGGACAGAGCCCAGCCUGGAAAGUUGUCUAGCCUGUGAAUGAAACAUCUGAAGUUUUAAACUGCAGGCAAGUACAGCUGGCCUUCAAGAAUCUCUACAAUCUGCCUAAAACAACAUUUAGGGUGAGAAAUUACUACUUGUAACCAGAUUCUUUAGUAUUUUAAGCUUAGAUUGCGUGUUUGUUUCAUUUGCUGAAUAGUCUGUUUUGAUC